UCCUCGCAAACCUGUCACUGGCAGCAAACGGGUCCCUCUCCUCCCGACUGGCUCUCUCGCCCUUGCUUGCUUCUAGCCCUUCUGAACAUGAAGCUCGUCAGGUUUUUGAUGAAGUUGAACAAUGAAACGGUGUCGAUUGAGCUCAAGAACGGCCACCAUCACAGGCUUGAGGCUGUAGGAGCUGAGGAAUUUCAAUUUGUUGUUCAACUCAAAAAGAAAAUUCAUGUUUGAGAGGUCUGGAGCAGCUUACGUGAUUCUAUAUCCACGACAGUAGCAGAGCAAUGGCUUUGCUGAAUAGAAAACUUGGCUCCUUAUUGGUUUCCACAUCUAUCCACCACAAUCCCUACUUUGCACUACCCAAAUCCAUCAUCAUCCACUCUCACUCUCUCUCGCAAUUAAACAAUAAUGAUUCAAUUGUCAAUUCCAUCUCUGAUUCAUUCAAGAAAACCCAUAACUGGGGUACUCUCACCAAGACCUUCUCUUCUGUCCAAUUAACCCAUUCUCUUGUUCAACAAGUACUCCUCCAACUGAAGCAGCCCGAGCAUGCAAGAUAUGCUCUAAAUUUCUUUUAUUGGUCAGCAAAGUCCCAAAACUUUCAACACCAAAUCUAUUCUUACUGCAUUGUGAUUCAUAUUCUAGUUCAUGCAAAACAACUCCCUGAAGCUAAAAUAUUGCUCCACUCAGCUUUAAAAACAAGUGCACCCGAUUCAACAAGAUCCUGCAUAUUGGAAUCUUUACUGGGUAGUUACAAUGUUGUUGGUUCCAGUACUUUGGUGUUCGAUUUACUGGUUCAGGCCUAUGCAAAGUUGAGAAUGUUGGAGGAUGCUUUUGAGGUUUGUUGUUACUUAGAGAAUCAUGGGUUUUCUUUGACCUUGUUAAGUUUUAAUGCUUUGCUUCAUGGGAUACUGAAAUCUGGUGAAAAUGUGAUGGUUUGGAAGGUUUAUGAGCACAUGAUUGAGAAAAGAAAAUACCCCAAUGAAAUUACAAUAAGAACAAUGAUUAGUGCUUUGUGUAAGGAAGGGAAGUUGCAAGUUGUUGUGGAUUUGCUGGACAAGAUUCUUGGCAAAAGAUGCUCACCAAUAGUUAUUGUUAAUACACAUUUGGUGUUUAAGGUUAUAGAAGAGGGUAGAAUUGAAGAUGGUAUGGAAUUAUUGAAGAGAAUGUUGCAAAAAAAUUUAAUUCUUGAUUCCAUUGCUUACUCUUUUGUUGUCUAUACUAAAUUGAAGCUUGGGAAUUUGGAGUUGGCAUGGGAGGUGCAUGAAGAAAUGCUUAAGAGAGGAUUUAUUGCCAACUCUUUUUUGUUUUCUUCAUUUAUAAGAGCAUAUUCUGAAAGAGGAAGAAUUCAUGAAGCAGAAAAUGUGUUGCGAGAGAUGGAAAAUAUGGGUUUGAAGCCGUAUGAUGAAACUUUUAAUUAUCUAAUUGAGGGUUGUGCUAAAGCAGGAGAAAUGAAGGCAAGUGUGAGACACUGUGAGGAAAUGAUUAGGAGGGGACUUGUUCCUAGUUGUUCCACUUUUAAUGAGAUGGUGAGAGGGCUUUGUGAAAUUGGGGAUUCAGAGAACGCUAAUGCGCUCUUAACUCUUGUUUUAGAUAAAGGGUUCUUACCUAAUGAGACCACGUAUUCUCAUCUUAUUGCUGGUUAUGGAAAAGAGGGGAAUAUUCAACAAGUUUUCAAACUCUACUAUGAAAUGGAGUACAAAUCACUGUCUCCUGGAUUACCAGUUUUUACGUCCUUGAUCAGAUGCCUGUGUCACUGUGGAAAACUAAAGGAAGCAGAAAGGUAUUUAAGAAUAAUGAAAGAUCGUUCUGUAGUCUUGAGUGAGGACAUAUAUGAAGCUUUAAUCACUGGUCACUUCGAAAAGGGUGACAAAACAGGGGCUGGUAUCAUAUAUAAUGAAAUGGUUGCAAGAGGAAUGAAGCCCCACAAGUGGGGGAAUUUUACACAAAUAUCUGAGGCUGUAGAAGGAAGUGACUAGCAUGAAGGACAUUGCAAAGACAAUCCCUGAAAGGUAAUAAAUUGCAAGGACAACCUUGGAUGAUAGUGAUUAAUAGACUUCACCCCAAGUGGCCACUGCUUCCUAUGUCUGCGUACAUGCAUUUCUAGUAAUGCAGAGACACUAGUUAGUUGGCACUGAACUUCUUGAAAGUUUAGUGAAAAUGGCUCCGAAAAAGAAAGAACAUAAGGUGUAGGAGUGUAAAGAUGAUUCAUCAAUCAAGGUAGGUAAUAACUCAUACAGCCAUUGGGGAUCUAUCAUGACAAGUCAGAACUUGAUUUGUUGAGGAUGCAAAUUUUUGCACUGGAGAAAUGCAAGAGGAGUGUAGACUAUAGACAGUGGAGAGAGGGAUCCAAUCACGCAAGAACUUCCUGAUGCUGCUUUAUCUGGUUAUUGUGAGCAUACAAGGAAAUCAUCAGAAGAGAUGCAGGGUCAGCUUAUGGAUUGUGUAGAACACGAACAUUCUAUGACUAGAUAGGAUAUUUGGCAUUAGGUCAGCUUAUGUUCAUGGCAAGGAGAGUGGAUGGAAGGGUCAGAUCAAGGGUUCUACUUCUAAUGUGGAAAGAAAGUUUGAAGUGGUGCAAAGCCUCUGAGAAAACAUAGAGGAUGAGCAGAUGAAAAGGGAAAGGUUGGAGGAUUGAAUGGAGCCGCAAGUUGAGGAGAGACUUGGGCAGUGCUCCGAUUAAAUGUUUACCAUGUGCGUGCCGUAGAUGCUAUUGGUUAUACAUUCAAUAGCAUUAUCCACAUCCCAAACAAGCUCACAGUGUAUCAAAGGUCUGCAUCAAAUCACAAUUCUAAGAUAUUUCUAUAUUGUUUCUCUUUGUUGGUUUGCUUUACAUAAUUUUCUUAUGGACCUAUACGGAAAAUGUAAUAUCAGCUCAUCUACUUAGACUGGCAGUACCCUUGAAACAAUAAAUUCUCUAUGAAAGUACAGAAAGCCUUUUUAAUA